UACCCGCAGCACAAGUGGUGGUCAUUAUUAUUGGGCCUAAAGCGUCCGUAGCUGGCUUGUUAGAUGCCUGGGUAAAUCGAUGCGCUCAACGCAUCGAACUCCGGGUAGACCGGCAAGCUUGGGACCGGGAGAGGCGUGAGCUACUCGAGGGGUAGGGGUAAAAUCCUGUAAUCCUUCGGGGAGGACCAGUGGCGAAGGCGUCACGCUAGAACGGCUCCGACAGUGAGGGACGAAGCCCCUGGGGCGCAAACCGG
rnacentral:rRNA from 1 species